CCUUGUACACACCGCCCGUCACACCAUGGGAGUUGGUUUUACCUGAAGACGGUGCGCUAACCGCAAGGAAGCAGCCGGCCACGGUAAGGUCAGCGACUGGGGUG
rnacentral:rRNA from 1 species